rnacentral:misc_RNA from 1 species
GGGAUACCAUAAUAUAUCCAAAAAAAAUUUGCCAUGUGAAUAAUUAAAGGCCGCAACAAUCCUUUCUCAUAUAUAGCCAUACACCAUCAUUACAAACCUGUUUCUGUAACUCACAAGUGCGACUACAAUUUAAAACAUGCUUCCCAGAUAUCAGUUUCCAAACACCGCUUAGAAAACUAUCCCACCCACCCAUCCGAUAGUAAACACGCAUGACAGCUAAAAAGUAUUCCAAGUAAUGGUCAAUGUAAUUUGUCCACCAAGACUAUUACAUAUAUUUCCUUGCAUUUUAUAUUGCCUAAAAGACAAUUUAAGGAUAAAAAGGUGACAUAUGAUGAAGUUUAAAUUGGCAACAAGGUACAGAAAAAGGGAAAAAAAAAAUUAAAGGAUAUUCAAGAAGAUCAUCAAUCAAAGAAAAUAAAGAAAAUUUUACCUGUAAAUGGAAAUUGCAGAAGAGGAAAAGAAUUUUUUUUUUCUUCUAAUACUGUAAUUAAAGGGGAAAAAACAUGAAAGAAAUUGAAGAUAAAAGAGGAAAUUAGCAAGUACACCCAAGCUGGAGAAUGUUUCUGUAAAUGGAAAUAUAUAGAAAACUCUCAGCAGUGAUAAGGGGAAAUCCUGAAAGAGCUAAGAAUCUGAACAUAUGCUUAAAACGAUUUUUAAAAAAAUAAAAAAAGAAUCUGUACCAACACUAACAGUAACAGAAAAAGACCUUGCAAAGAACCCUAGGUGAAGAAAUUAAGAGGCGAAGAAAGAAAGAAUAGUUGAUGAGAGAACCUACCAGUGGCAAUCUAGGCUACAAAUCCAAGCUCAUUUACAAGAAGCAGAAGGCACGAGGAUUGACCAGUACAGAUGUCUAGUUUCAGCCAUUGCUUUGCUUUUCUCUGGAGCUGUCCUUUUUGGUGCUGUUGUCGCUGUAAAUUCAAGGCCACCAAAGGCAUUAAAGGAAAGAAAGAAAAAGAGAAAGAGCUUAUCAACUUAACCUAGUUGAUGAAUGAAAAAGAAAGAUUCUUUUUAUGGCCAAACAAUGAAUAAAGUGACUGUG